AGGAGGCUGAGAUCUGAGGAUCCCGGUUCAGAGAGCCAGCCCAAGCGGACAAUCCUGAGAGACUCUUAUCUCCAAUUAACCAGCAAAAAUUCAGAAGUGGAGAUGUGGCUAACGUGGUAAAGUGCAAGUCAUGAGUGGAAAAAGGCUAGUGAAAACUUGAGGCCCUUAGUGCUAAGCUUUAAUAGUGGCACACACAUACACA